UGGCAAUGUUACAAACAGGAUCAGGUGAAGAAACCAAUCUCAAAAAGCAAUUCUGAGGCUUAAUUGUUUUGCCAUAACAAGUUGUGUUUGUAAUCAAGUCAAAUUUUCCAGCUUCAUCUGUUAGGUCACUUCCAUAAUAAAUUACUCUUCUCCUCUCAUCUAGGCAUGUAAGUGAUACUAUACUACCUGCAUGAGAUACGAAGCCAAUUCAGGACGUAGAAUCAGUGAGUUCAGAAUAAGUUAAUAGAAGCAAUUUUGAGGCUUAAUUGUUUUGCCAUAACAAGUUGUGUUUGUAAUCAAGUCAAAUUUUCCAGCUUCAUCUGUUAGGUCACUUCCAUAAUAAAUUACUCUUCUCCUCUCAUCUAGGCAUGUAAGUGAUACUAUACUACCUGCAUGAGAUACGAAGCCAAUUCAGGACGUAGAAUCA
rnacentral:lncRNA from 1 species